rnacentral:tRNA from 1 species
GGAGGGAUGGCCGAGUGGUUAAGGCGAUGCACUUAAGUCUUACACAAGUGGUGUAAGCGAUGCAUUUCACGUAAGUGAUCGAGGGUUCGAACCCCUCUCCCUCCA